rnacentral:rRNA from 1 species
CCUACGGGUCGCAGCAGUGGGGAAUAUUGGACAAUGGGCGAAAGCCUGAUCCAGCCAUGCCGCGUGUGUGAAGAAGGCCUUCGGGUUGUAAAGCACUUUCAGUGGGGAAGAAAGCCUUGGGGCUAAUACCCUCGAGGAAGGACAUCACCCACAGAAGAAGCACCGGCUAACUCCGUGCCAGCAGCCGCGGUAAUACGGAGGGUGCGAGCGUUAAUCGGAAUUACUGGGCGUAAAGCGCGCGUAGGCGGUCUGAUAAGCCGGUUGUGAAAGCCCCGGGCUCAACCUGGGAACGGCAUCCGGAACUGUCAGGCUAGAGUGCAGGAGAGGAAGGUAGAAUUCCCGGUGUAGCGGUGAAAUGCGUAGAGAUCGGGAGGAAUACCAGUGGCGAAGGCGGCCUUCUGGACUGACACUGACGCUGAGGUGCGAAAGCGUGGGUAGCAAACAGGAUUAGAUACCCGAGUAGUC